rnacentral:rRNA from 1 species
UGGGGAAUAUUGCACAAUGGGCGAAAGCCUGAUGCAGCAACGCCGCGUGAGGGACGACGGCCUUCGGGUUGUAAACCUCUUUAGCAAGGAAGAAGCGAAAGUGACGGUACUUGCAGAAAAAGCGCCGGCUAACUACGUGCCAGCAGCCGCGGUAAUACGUAGGGCGCAAGCGUUAUCCGGAAUUAUUGGGCGUAAAGAGCUCGUAGGCGGUUUGUCGCGUCUGCUGUGAAAACCCGAGGCUCAACCUCGGGCCUGCAGUGGGUACGGGCAGACUAGAGUGCGGUAGGGGAGAUUGGAACUCCUGGUGUAGCGGUGGAAUGCGCAGAUAUCAGGAAGAACACCGAUGGCGAAGGCAGAUCUCCUGGGCCGUAACUGACGCUGAGGAGCGAAAGGGUGGGGNGCAAACAGGCUUAGAUACCCUGGUAGUCCACCCGUAACGUUGGAACUAGUUGUGGGGUCCAUUCCACGGAUUCCGUGACGCAGCUAACGCAUUAAGUUCCCCGCCUGGGGAGUACGGCCGCAAGGCUAAACUCAAAUGAAUUGACGGGGUCAUAGCUGUUU